rnacentral:rRNA from 1 species
UCGGGUGUGACUGCGUACCUUUUGUAUAAUGGGUCAGCGACUUAUAUUCUGUAGCAAGGUUAACCGUAUAGGGGAGCCGGAGGGAAACCGAGUCUUAAUUGGGCGUUAAGUUGCAGGGUAUAGACCCGAAACCCGGUGAUCUAGCCAUGGGCAGGUUGAAGGUUGGGUAACACUAACUGGAGGACCGAACCGACUAAUGUUGAAAAAUUAGCGGAUGACCUGUGGCUGGGGGUGAAAGGCCAAUCAAACCGGGAGAUAGCUGGUUCUCCCCGAAAGCUAUUUAGGUAGCGCCUCGUGAAUUCAUCUCCGGGGGUAGAGCACUGUUUCGGCUAGGGGGCCAUCCCGGCUUACCAACCCGAUGCAAACUGCGAAUACCGGAGAAUGUUAUCACGGGAGACACACGGCGGGUGCUAACGUCCGUCGUGAAGAGGGAAACAACCCAGACCGCCAGCUAAGGUCCCAAAGUCAUGGUUAAGUGGGAAACGAUGUGGGAAGGCCCAGACAGCCAGGAUGUUGGCUUAGAAGCAGCCAUCAUUUAAAGAAAGCGUAAUAGCUCACUGGUCGAGUCGGCCUGCGCGGAAGAUGUAACGGGGCUAAACCAU